rnacentral:rRNA from 1 species
GGUUCAGGACGAACGCUGGCGGCGUGCCUAACACAUGCAAGUCGAGCGGGGACAUUGCGACGGAUUUGAAAUUUCGGAUGGAUAUGAAGAUGUAAUGUUCUAGCGGCGGACGGGUGAGUAACGCGUGAGCAACCUGUCCCUUACAGGGGGAUAACACAGCGAAAGUUGUACUAAUACCGCAUAAGACCACAGAGCGACAUCGCUUAGGGGUCAAAGGAGCAAUCCGGUAAGGGGUGGGCUCGCGUCCGAUUAGAUAGUUGGUGAGGUAACGGCCCACCAAGUCGACGAUCGGUAGCCGACCCGAGAGGGUGAUCGGCCACAUUGGGACUGAGACACGGCCCAAACUCCUACGGGAGGCAGCAGUGGGGAAUAUUGGGCAAUGGGGGGAAACCCUGACCCAGCAACGCCGCGUGAGGGAAGAAGGUUUUCGGAUCGUAAACCUCUGUCCUUGGUGAAGAGAAAGAGACGGUAGCCAAGGAGGAAGCCCCGGCUAACUACGUGCCAGCCGCCGC